UUGCGGCUGGAUCACCUCCUUUCUAAGGAUUUGGCCGAAAGCGCCGAUGCUAGCCAUCGGAAGUGCUUCGUCCGUUCCAAAGAACAUUGCCGUCGUCCUCAUGUCCCUUCAUCCUGGAGAUCAACACAGAUUGCUGUGUUGUAGCCUGAGCUGGCUCACGCCGCCCGCGGCAGCCCCCUUUCGAGGAGGCGGUCAGCGAUGGCAUGGUGGGGGCCGGUAGCUCAGGUGGUUAGAGCGCACGCCUNGGGGGNGGGNNGGGGGGGGGGGNGGCCGNGGGGNGGGGGGNGGGGGGGGGGNGGCCU
rnacentral:misc_RNA from 1 species